rnacentral:rRNA from 1 species
AGUGAACGCUGGCGGUAGGCCUAACACAUGCAAGUCGAACGGCAGCACAGUAAGAGCUUGCUCUUACGGGUGGCGAGUGGCGGACGGGUGAGGAAUACAUCGGAAUCUACUUUUUCGUGGGGGAUAACGUAGGGAAACUUACGCUAAUACCGCAUACGACCUACGGGUGAAAGCAGGGGAUCUUCGGACCUUGCGCGAUUGAAUGAGCCGAUGUCGGAUUAGCUAGUUGGCGGGGUAAAGGCCCACCAAGGCGACGAUCCGUAGCUGGUCUGAGAGGAUGAUCAGCCACACUGGAACUGAGACACGGUCCAGACUCCUAAGGGAGGCAGCAGUGGGGAAUAUUGGACAAUGGGCGCAAGCCUGAUCCAGCCAUACUGCGUGGGUGAAGAAGGCCUUCGGGUUGUAAAGCCCUUUUGUUGGGAAAGAAAAGCAGCAGGUUAAUACCCCGCUGUUCUGACGGUACCCAAAGAAUAAGCACCGGCUAACUUCGUG